AAGAAUCUACAGGUCGAGCAAGUCUCGUAAAUUUCACGAUUGCGAGCCACACUUCACGCAACCGUGUUUGCGUACUUGUGUUUCGAGUUGCGUGGUCGUGCGGAGUUAUAUUUACCAAAUUUAAAUGUAAUCGUUUCUACUGAUAAUAAUAUACUAUUCUCAAUAUGGCUACUGGGUGUAAAAGAUAAAUCUUAUUCUAUCUGUUCUUCAUGAGUUUUAGAUAAUUUUAGUUGUAUUUCUUUGUAAUUUUGUGUUGUACAAAGAUUAAUUUAACAUUUUCUCUGGAAGUAUUAAUUUAGAAAGAUAAUAUGCUUCAUUGGUGUUGUGUUUUGAAGUGUGAAAUGCAAAGUAAUUGUGAUAAAGUCAAGAUAAAGUUCACUUUUAAACUGAACUAAAUAAGGUAUCUGAGAGACAACAAUGGUUAAAUGCAAUACAAUGUACAGGUUUUACUAGCGAAAUGAAAAUUUUCCUGUCCUGUCUGCUGUAAUCAUUUUAUAUCUGGUAAGUUACAAUUACAACAGUAACGAUUUUUGAAGAUGUUAACAUUUUAAUCUUAUAGGAAAAUAGGAAAACCAGCCGACUUAAUCGAUAAUAACAAUCUCCAGAUUGGGUUCCUUCAAUAAAUAUGGGCUAUAAACCCAAUGAAAUAAGUUCCCCAAAAUCUAAAAUGGAGUGCUAUCAAAGGAGAAUUAAAGGAAAAAAUAUUCAUAUUGAAAUUAUUGAUAAGGCACUGGACUGUCUUAAAUUCUACAAUAAUACUAGAAUCAGCUGAGAGAAGUGGUCUACAAAAAACCAGGAAGGAAACGGAAUAUGUGGCUACGAAAGGCAAAAGAAAGGUUUACAAAGCAAAUGUGACACAUUUUUUUGAAAUAUUUAGGAAUAUCAGUAAAUUGCAUUAAAAAAUGUAUGAAAAGAUUUUGUUCAAUAAAAAUGUUUAUAUUUA